GGUUACACUUAUAAUGCAAUAAAAAAUUAUUGGCUAUAAUUAAUAAUAACAUUAACUGAAUCAAAGAUAAAUUUUAUUAAGUGAAAUUUUUAAAAUUUAAUUAAGUUUGUAUAAAUAUUAUGAAGUUAAUAAAUUUAGGUUUAAAACUAGGAUUAGAUACCCUAUUAUUCUAAACGGAAUGUAAAAAUGCCAGGUCAGUAGUAGUUAUGGUCUUGAAAAUUAAAGAAGUUGGCGGUAUUUUAGUCUAUUCAGAGGAACCUGUCCUAUAAUUGAUGGUCCACGAUUUUUUUUACUUAUUUUAUUAGUUUGUAUAUCGCCGUAGGUUGAAUAUUUUUAAAAAAAAGAAAUAUUCAUAAUUUUUUGUUGUAAAGGAAUUCAGGUCAAGGUGUAGCUUAUAAAUAAGAAGAGAUGGGUUACAAUAAAAUUAUUUUUAUGAAUUGAUUAAUGAAAUUUAUUUAUGAAAUUGGAUUUGAGGGUAAUUUUAUUUAAAUUAAUAAGAUGAUUUAAGCUCUAAAGUAUGUACAU
rnacentral:rRNA from 1 species